CGCCUCUCUUGGAUCUGAGACAUGCUUAUAGGUGAUAUAGUGAGUGUGGCUGGGAAUGACUGAGCUCUAGGACAUGUGGGUAUAUUUACAUACAUACAUAUAUAUUAUUAUAUUUAUAGAUACUACUUUAACAUUAUAAAACAUUGGCAGGUUAAAGGGCCAUUACUAAAUGUGAGUAAAAAUAAUAUAAUAAUAUAAUAUGUAUGAAUGAGUGAGUGAUAACUACCUUACCUUUUUGUGUCAUUUUACCCCACUCCCUCUAGCAUGUAAGCUCAUUGAGCAGGGCCCUCAACCCCUCUGUUCCUGUGUGUCCAACUUGUCUGGUUACAACUACAUGUCUGUUCGUCCACCCACUGUAACGCGCUGCGGAAUUUGACGGCGCUCUAUAAAUAUCAUAAUAAUAAUAAUAACUAACCCUGGUACUGCAUGUGUUCACUGAGAUUCACAGGAAAUGUAGUCCACAAACAGCUGCAGUGUGUAAAGUAGCUCCCUUUUGUAAAUGUGGAUAAAUACAUGUUUACCCUAUGUGUACAUGCAGUGAUUUUACAUCUGGGACAUUAUGUAUCAUCCUGUUUGUGUUAUAAUUCGAUAGACAUGGGGAGCAUGUUCACAGCUUUAUUUGUGCUGAACUGAAUAAAAAUCAGGUUGCAAAAUGUUAGGUUAAAAUAGCCAAGCUGUGACUGAGAAACGUAUGUCUGCUAUGCUUCCAGUUCAGCUACUUUAGUCUUACAUUUGAAGUUCUUGUUCAAUUCACCUUGAAUAUCCAACCAAUUUAAAUUUUUGUAAAUUACUCUGAUUGUGUGGCAAACAGCAUCUCCCGUCUGUAUCACUUUAAAAAGGUAUUGUCGGCAGACAAAGCUGGACUUAGACACAGGAUUCUUAGGGACCACUACUCCUCCUCUACAUAUCCAUGAACGUCUUGCUGCCUCUGUGAAUGGGAGGCGCGCAUGAAAGUAAGGAUGCACAUCGCUCACUUCUCUCUUCUGCUAAUAGAACAAUGCAGUUACCAUGUAGUAAAAUAUGCCAGGGCGUGACGAGUUUGCUCAGAAUCUAGGAGCCAGCAAAAAAAGUUAUGAGCCAGGUUUUUGUAUUUCAAAAAUACAAAUAUUAAAGGGAAAAGGCAGUAUUUACAUUAUUGACUAGUUACACUUCUAGUGAUAGUCACUCAGACGCCCUCUAGAGGUGCAUCCUGGAUCAGUGCUGCACAGCACCUAUGUUUAAUGUCUCCACGCUCUGCAUGGAGUUGUUGAACGUUCCCCAUAGAGAUGCAUUGAUUCAAUACAUCUCUAUGAGGAGAUGCUGAUUGGCGCAGCACAGUCUUUUGCCACACAUGCGCAAUAGUCUCCUAGUGCUUUCCUAGGGGAAAGCAUUGGAUUGGCUGAGAUCAUCAAGAUUGAAGAUUGCAAUCAUGGAGGCAGGGCCAGCUGCGGCGAGACCAGCUCAGCGUCAGGGCGGGUGGGGGGGGAAGGGAAGUAAAAACCGCUUUCCCAUGUGAUUGAAUGAAGACCAGUCACCUAAACACACACACAUACACACACGCACCUGACAGACAGACAAACGCACACACACUCACUGACUCUUUCUCAGCUGGCCGACCACACACAUGCCCACUCUCUCAGCUGGCCGACCACACGCUAUUGCUCUUCUUGAGCUCAUAAAGAGCAUGGGCGUGCGAGUAGUCGCCCGCCCGCCCGCCGGCCUCCACUUAUAGGCAGCUGACCACCUCGAAGGCUGAAUGGGACAACAAAUCCUAGUCACCAUGGCGACCUGGCGCCUGUGAUUUGUCGAGCCCUGAAAUAUGCACAUUCUUACUCUUGGCAGACAACACUAGAAGAGCGGCUUCUGCUUGCAACUACUGACUCUGGAAAUGGCAAUUUGUAUUAUUAUUUAUUUUGAUUGUGUUAAAUAAUCAACAAAAUAUAUUGGUUAUUCAAAUAUUUCAAACUUACACCCCUACUAUAACAGUAUGUCUGUUAACCAGAAAAUAAAUAUCUCUUCACUGCUGAUGAUCCUGAUGGGUAUUUAAUCUAAUUUAACAGGUUUUUGCUUCUUUUUCAGGCUCAGUCAGUCUCAUUUGUGGGCAGAAUAUGUGGACCAUAUUAAGGAGCAGGCUGUUACUCAGUGGACAUUUUUCAUCAUGUGACGUGUGCCGGGCCAUGUCAAACCAUGCUUCUAUGCAGAGCAUAGCCAAGCUGCAGGAGAGAAAAAUAAACAAACUGAUCUUUCCAAUUACAGAUUUGGAGAAGUUUCUAGGCCCCGGUGUUGAUAGAACUUAUUUUAGACUUUUCAAUCCUAGCAUUGAGCAGAUUGUUAAAGCUGAGGAAUUAUUUAGGUCGUCAGGCAAGCAUGUGAUCGAUUAUUACACUUCGGCUGUCAGAAUGGAUCAUACGCCCUCACUCACGCAGCCAGAGGUUGGUGGAAGCCAGUAAAUACUCCUAUAUCCUACAAUGCUUAGCAUGAGUUCCAUGUAUAGAGAAUGAGGGCGGCUCUUGCCAUCCCACAAUGCUUAGCAUGAGUCCAUGUAGAGUGUAUCAGGACUGUUGCUCCCAUCAUCCCACAAUGCUUAGCAUCAGUCCAUGUAGAGUGUAUGGGGGCUGUUGCUCCCAUCAUCCCACAAUGUUUAGUGUGUGUCAAUGCACAAUGUACAGGGGCUGUUACUUUUAAUACCCGCCGUGGGCUUUCUAUCCAUUACAGUAUUUUCUUAUAUUUUAGGUAUGUUUCAUAGGAAGAAGUAAUGUGGGCAAAUCAACGUUGAUAAAAGCCUUGUUUUCGCUGGUGCCUGGACUUGAAGUUAGAGUGUCAAAAAAUCCUGUGAGUAACAUUAUGCACAAAGCUUCGGAACACGUUGUAUGUAGUAAUUAUACAUUACAUAGUUUGACUAAUCUUACUGAUUUUGUAGCAAAAGAAUAAUUGCAAGCAUGUUUUUGCAUGGACUUCUCACAAUUGAAUACAGUUUGAUGAAAACCAGAGGGAUACUUCAGUGAAGUACUUGCACCAUAAUCACUUCAAUUAAUUAUAUUGUUUAAGGUUCUUGGAGCAUCUCUUAAUGGUCUAAUUCAACUUUUCAUACUCUGCCUUAUGUCUUCUUAUGUAGUUUUUAUGCAAAUUAUUAGCUCAACCCUAUCAGCUGAUAACCGUAAUAUAUAUAUAUAUUUUUUUUUUACAGGGUCACACAAAGAAACUGAACUUUUUUAAAGCAGGGAAAGCGUUUACUUUGGUGGAUAUGCCAGGCUAUGGUUAUCAUGCACCUGAAGAUUUUACUGAUAUGGUAGAGGAAUAUCUUCAGAAGAGACAAAAGUAAGUGUAACCACAUAGGAAAGAACCAGAUAGGGCCUAUUUAGUUUGGUGGCUAUUCAUUAAUCAGUGGAAGUGGAGGGGUGUGUUGACAGAUGAGUUGCAAAUAUUUUCCUCUUUCUGUAUUUUUUUUGCUUAAACUUUGCAAAACAGUUGUCAACUGGCGAUUUAAUGAAUAAACCUUCUAUGUUUGAAAGGCUCUCCUAUAUCCACCACCUAUUUUGUAAAAAAAAAAACACAUAUAUUUAUAUAUAUUAUGCGUGCAUGUUCAGGUGAGUGUACAGCCCCCUUGGUUUUAUAUAUAUAUAUAUAUAUAAUAUUAUUAUUAUUUAUUAUAUAUAUAUAUUAUUAUUAUUUAUUAUAUAUAUUUUUUUAAUUAUUAUUUAUUUAUUUAUUUAUUUAUUUUGAGUUUUUAUUAAGUUAUAUAUAGGGAGGGUGCAAAAAGGAAAAAUAAUGAUGGUGGCCAUGGAGGAAAUAACAAGGAAGUGGCCUCACCGUGCAGUUAAGUUGCAACAAUUUUGUAUAUCACAAUUCCGAAUUCGAUCGUGAUUGUUACGGUAACAUCUCAGCAUUGUAGGAAGGGUAGUGACAAAGGUCUGACUCAUACCAUCACCAUAGGUCCUUGGACAAGAUAAUCAAAUCAACUCACAUUGGGAAAACGCCAUCUUGAUCAAGUAGAGUAGUACGCCGUAUCAUAGAGUCAAGGCCAGUCAAGCCUUGCCCGAUCUACAUGUGCCCCACUUGCCCCAAGCCUCCUGGAACACUUUGUUGGGGUAUAUAUGACUGUGUCCAAUGGACUGGAGCACUGAUUCAGUUGGGUGUGCAGUGGCGAUUUCCACUGGGCUGUUAGUAUAAUAUUUGACGGUAUUUUCUGUUGGGCUUUUGUCAGCUUGUCUAGAUUUAGGAGUAGUAAGUAAGUUUGUGAGGUGAAGGGUACAUGUGAUCUUAUUGUUUGCCUUAAGACAGAGUGUAUUUGCCCAAAAAGGUUGUAUAACAGGGCACGACUACCAGAUAUAUUUAAUUUCCUAAUCCUCUAUGACAUCUCCAGCACUUUUUUGACGAAGAGGGGAAUAUUUUUUUAUUAUCUAGUUGGUAUCAUGUACUAUCUAUAGAGAUUUUUUUUUUCUAUAUUGUUCGAUGUGGAGAGGGUAAAUACUUUGUGUAAGGUAGAAAUCUGGUGCCAUUGGUCAGGUGAAAUUGGGCUGUUAAAAUCCACUGCCCACAGUUUUGAAAUGUUGGAGUCUGGGUUUGUAGUAGCCGGUAGCACAUGAAGAUCGGUUUAGUAGUAGGAGACUAUACUGUAGUCUUUUAAGGUCGCCAUUACUUGUGGUAAGAAGCUAUCGGGUCUGUAAUUGAAAUGAGGACAUCAGCAGCAAAGGGUCAACUUUGUUUCUUGCGGCCCCAUAUUCACUCCCUGAUUGUCUAUUUUACUUUGCAAUAGAGGUUCUAAUGCCAGUACAUAUAAAAGCAGUGACAAAGAGCACUCCUGUCUUGUUCUGUUUGUUAUCGAAAACAAAGAUAAGAAUCCCUCCUGCAGAAUAAAAGCUUGUAGCUUGGUGGAAAAGAGAGGCGUCACAUAUAAGGGAGGGAAACCAAAUUUAUAUAAGGCCUCCUCAAGGAACUGUAAGUUAAGGCAGUUGAAUGAUUUAUCUGUGUCCAACACCAGAAGUCUGCCCAACGGAGAAGAUUCCUAAUGUUAUCCAUGGCUUUGUAUCCCUAACGAAUCUGUUUGAUAAUUGGAUUUGGUAAUAUUGGUCCAAUUCUGUUGGCUAAUAACUUGGCAACUAUCUUGACAUCUGUGUUUGAGUUAUAUAGGAUGAACAUUUUUGUCCGGUUUAUCUGAUUUUGGUAGCAUGACUAUGGUAGCUUUCAACAUGUUUGGAGGCAGUUCGCCUGUUGACGAGUCUGUUUGGAAGACAUGAAGGAGGUAAGGAGUUAGGAGGUGAGCAUAUCUCUUAUAAUAACUGUUAGGAAAGCCGUCUGGACCUGGUGAUUUACCAGUAGGUAGGGUCCUUAUUACCGUUUUUUCUCUAGAGUGGGUGGGCCAGUUAAAGCUUCUCUGUGGUCAUGCGAAAGGUGUGGGAGAGGCACACAGGAUAAAUAUUACUGUAUAUCUGAGAGGGGUAUGUGUGUGUGUAUUUUGACUAUUCACAACAUGAAAUAAAAUGUAUAUCGGGCAGCUUGAACUGAGCAUUUCACCUGUCUGGUUGACAGCUCUGGGAUUAAAGGCCUAAAUCAUAUGAAAACAAUAAUGCAAAUAAAUUAAUAUUCUUUAUAUCUAAAUCAAAAAAAUGAAAUUUAUAUAUUAUAGUGACCUAUUUUUUAUAACUAGAUUUUAUGUAAUGCUAUAAGAAAAAUAAGCAGAUGUUGCAUUGUGUGUUUGUGAUUGCAUCUGUAUCGAAUAGACUUAAACUUAAUUUGACUAUUUUUAUUUAAAACAGUUUAAAAAGGAUAUUUCUGCUUGUGGAUGGGUCCAUUGGUCUUCAAAAAUCUGAUUUAAUAGCCAUUGAAAUGUGUGAAGAAUUUGCAAAACCUUAUGUUGUAAGUAAGACCUUUUUUUUCAUUAUUUAUUAUUUUCUUUAAUUUCAAGCUUAAUUACAGUAUUAUUGAUCUGGGUGGAGAAGCCAGUAGUAAAUAUUCUGUUUGGUGUGUUGUCAUUAUAUAUAUAUUCUUACUGUACUUGCAUACAUACUAACAGUUCCAUAUUUGGCAAGACCGUCACAAUUCUCUGUUGCAUGUGCUGUGUCUAGAAUACACUUUUGAAGAAGGCCAUUGUAGAAUGGAUUAGAUGGACCUAUAGGUGCAUUCUGGUGGUUGUUUAACUCUCAUAGCAGCUAGAAAUACACUUUAAUCUAAGCACCAUCAUCACUUUAUCUCAUUCAAGAGCAGUGGGGGAAUAUGGAAAGCAGUUAACAUUGAACUUAAUCACCACAUAGUUUUAACCCCCUUAAGGACCAAACUUCUGGAAUAAAAGUGAAUCAUGACAUGUCACACGUCAUGUGUCCUUAAGGGGUUAAAGGAUUCCCAGAAUGGUCACUUAUUGACUUUAGAGUUUGGCUCAGGAGAGAACAUAUGACAUGUCUGAUCAAUGGGCUGCUUUUGGAUGACCUUUCUAGGGUCCAAGUUGCCCCUGUGAGCUUAGCUGGUCAACCAGGCAUUAGUAAACGAACAAAUGUGAAAUAUGUUAACCCCAAAUGCUAAUGUUCAUUUUGUUACCAGAGUAUUCUCUCCUCUGAUGUUCUGCCAGGAUUUAGUGAAUAAGCUCCAUUUGUAUUUGAGAGAGCAUUCAGACAAUCUGCUUUUGAACUUACGUUAGUUUCUUUUCUUAGGUUGUGAUAACAAAAAUAGACAGACCCCCUACGGGAAUUUUAUUGACGCGCUUUCUAGAGGUUCAAGAAUUUAUUGUGAAUAAAACAAACGGAUGUUUUCCCCAACCCUUCCUAAUCAGGUAAAAAAAUGCCAAGCCUCAUUCGUGAAAUGCACAGUCUUGUUUACUGCUUUGCAGUUAGUUGCCAUUUGUUAACCUUUUUUUUUAAUAUAAUCCAGGUAGUUAAAACUAUAUAAAUUAGUUUGGGGACUUGUUUAUUCAAAAUGAACCAAUAAGGAUCGAACAGUCACUCACUGCUUUUCAUAGUAAAACACCCUCAUUUUUAAAUGCAGAUUGAUUCAGAGGUAAGUAGAUCUCUACUGCCACUUACAUGUAAAAGUGACAUUGACCAACAUUAGCGGUAAACACUGGCUGAGACUUACACUGACGAGAACUCAUCCGAUUACUCUGAAAUGUCAGCACUGCAUGUUACGACAUCUUCACCAAUAUACAUUUUAGCACCAUUUAUUUUUGUUGAUCAUCUGUUUAGGGAACUUGUUACAUUAUUUCUCUCUCCACAGCUCCACCCAGUACUCUGGAGUCCACUUGCUCAGAUGUUUCAUUGCUCAUGUAACAGGGAAUCUCCCAUCCACCAGCUGAAUAAAUUUUGAAUUUGCCCAUACUGUACCGGCUGGG
rnacentral:lncRNA from 1 species